CCUACGGGGGGCUGCAGUAAGGAAUAUUGGUCAAUGGACGCAAGUCUGAACCAGCCAUGCCGCGUGGAGGAUGAAGGUCCUCUGGAUUGUAAACUUCUUUUAUUUGGGAAGAAACUCCCGAUUUCCAUCGGGAUUGACGGUACCAGAUGAAUAAGCACCGGCUAACUCCGUGCCAGCAGCCGCGGUAAUACGGAGGGUGCAAGCGUCACCCGGUGUCACUGGUGCGUAGGUGGGCGUGUAUGUCAGGGGUGAAAGCUCCGGGCUUAACCCGGAAACUGCCAUUGAUACUAUUUGUCUUGAAUACUCUGGAGGUGAGCGGAAUAUGUCAUGUAGCGGUGAAAUGCUUAGAUAUGACAUAGAACACCCAUUGCGAAGGCAGCUCACUACGGAAAUAUUGACGCUGAGGCACGAAAGCGUGGGGAUCAAACAGGAUUAGAUACCCGUGUAGUC
rnacentral:rRNA from 1 species